ensembl:lncRNA
GGAUCCCUAACCCACUGUGCAGACCAGGGAUUGACCCUGCUUCCCAGGGCUCCCAAGAUGCCACUGACCCCAAUGCGCCACAGUGGGAACUCCCACAAUGCCACAGUUGAUAGAUAGAUGGUAGCGAUUCCCGGAUAGAUACAUUCAAUUGAGGAAUGUUUUUCUUUGCAUAUUAUACGUAUGUCACUAAUUGAGUGGCUACAUAUGUGUGUGUGUGUGUGUGUGUGUGUGUCCCUUCUCCCCACCGUCCUGUGUCCCUUUGCCCACAGAUAGGACCUCAGCUAGUUGCAGUUUGCUGCGUGGUAGAGUGACUCCACUAAUCGUUCCUGGAGCAUCAGUGGUCCUGCCCGGUCGGGUGUCGUGGCUUUUUGUUAACUUGUGUGCAUGGGAAAGGGGACCCUUGAGGAUCCCCCAGGUCCCAGACGUAGCCCUCCCUGCUCUUGGCUGUAGAGGCCUCCCAGUCAGGCAGCCACUACCUCUCCUCUUUCGUUGCCUGUGGUCUGAGGGGCACGAGAAGCCCAAACAGCCGAGUGGAGGUUUUAGCUUCAAAGGCGAUGAAAACUGUGUGGCUUUCCUUCCCCUGAGAACUCAGGUCUCCACACCGGCAGAGGCCAGCGCUGCAGGGACGUGAAGCGAAAUUUUCCUGAGUGGGUGCGGUAGCCUGAGUCAUGACCAGCCAAAGACGCCAGGUCCGCAUCUCUGGAAUUUGGAAAAUGUCACCUUAAAAGGAAAAAGGAUUUUUGCAGACGUGAUUAGGUGAAUGACCUUGACAUGGGGAGAUUCUCCUGGGCGACUGGGGCCCUAAACCCCAUUGCCAGUGUCCCUUUAAGAAACAGGCAGGAGGAGAGCUCACACACGGAAGAGGAGGAGGAACAGUGAAGACAGAAGCAGAGGUUGGAGUAAUGGGGCCGAAGGAACACCAACGGCCACCCAGCUGGAGGAGUCACGGCACAGGUUCCUCCCUAGAGUUUUAGGAGGAGUGCAGCCCUGCUGGUACCUCGAUUUAGGCUCAGUGAGGCUGAUGCGGAACUCCUGGCCUCCAGAACUCUAGGAGAAUAAAUUCUGUUCAGUCACCAAGUAUGUAGCAAUUUGUUGUGGCAACCACAGUGAACUAAUACUGGCGGCUAGGGAGAUGCCACGCCACCUACCUUCCUUUGAUUCCUGGCGCCUUAAAUGCCGGCUGUCAAUGAGGAUGCGGCGUUCCCAUUGUGUCUCAGCGGAAAUGAAUCUGAUUAGUGUCCACGAGGACACGGGUUCGAUCCCUGGCCUCACUCAGUGGGUUAAGGAUCUGGCAUUGCUGUGAGCUGUGCAAAGGAGCGACUGCUGUAAGAUGGGGCUUUAGAAAGAGGCAGGAGUCAAGGUUUAUGAGAUCCACGAAUCUUUCCAAAGAGGCAGGGCUUACCAGUGAGGACAAUGGGGAGUCAGUCCAAGAUUUAGGAGUUCCCUGGUGGUUCGGUGGGUUGGGGAUCUGGUGAAGUCACUGCCGUAGCUCUGGUUGCUGCUAUGGCAGGGCUUUGACCCCUGGCCUGGGAAUUUCUGCAUGCAGCCAGCACAGCUGGGGAAAAAAAAUCUUGACCCGGGAUCAAAUCAGGGUAGACUUGCCCUUUGGAAUAUUUUCUUUGGAGGAUGGAAGACGGAUUUGAGGGAGCAAGCCUGGCCGCAGGGAGACCAGCUAGGAGAUGCUGCAGUAACCUGAGCAGGAGAUGCUGGUAACCUAGACCCGUCCCACGGCGUUUCACUAAUUGAGCAAAUGCGUGUGAAGCGCCUGCUGUAUGUCAGAGCCUGGCUCAGCACAACGUACAGGAGGAUCAGAUGCAGGAGACCCAGUUAUGGCCCUGAGGUCAUCCAGCCCCUGGGGAAAACAGAUGCACCAUUAUCCAAAGCACGUGCCACUCUUUAGCUGCUAAGUUUGUCUGACUCAGCAAGGAGGGUUUGCAGGUGGCUACGGGAGUCCCCAAACUGUCAACAAAUAUGGCCUUGAUAGCAGGUAUGAUUUUAGCUUGGUGUGUCACUUAUCUAUUGCCACGUGACAGCUCACCCGACACCUUAGCAGCGUAAAACAACAGCGGUUUUACUUUGUCUUAAUUCUGCGGGUCAGCAGUUUGGGCUGCUCUCAAAUUCUGAGCGGUUCUGCUGCUCUCACCUGGAAUCGCUGAUGUGGUUGCACUCCUCCGGCCUCUUGGCUGGGACUGGUUCUGCUGAGGUGACCUCACCCACGUGUCGGGUUUGGUGCUGGCUGUCAUGCAUGGGCAGGAUGGCCCGUCUCUGCUCUGUGGGGCUUUUCACCCUCCAGAAGGUUUGACUGGGCUUCUUCACACGGCAAGGGGGCCAGAGCAGACAUGAUGUGGCCUCUUGAGGCCCUGGCUUGGAAGCUGUACCGAGCAGCCUGGGGCUGCCAUGCAGCAAGGGCUCAGCUCACCGGGAUCUGGGGGGCUCGGCUUCUGUUAUAGUUCUUACAGUCUUGCAAACCAAAGACAACCAUGCAGCGUCUUUCCCAACAUUAGCACUUGUCUCUCCUCUGCCGUCAUCCCAGCCCCUGCACAAGGC